rnacentral:rRNA from 1 species
GACGAACGCUGGCGGCGUGCUUAACACAUGCAAGUCGAACGAUGAAGCCGGAGCUUGCUCUGGUGAAUUAGUGGCGAACGGGUGAGUAACACGUGAGUAACCUGCCCUUGACCCGGGGAUAACUGCUAGAAAUGGUAGCUAAUACCGGAUAGGACCUCUGCCUGCAUGGGUGGUGGUGGAAAGCUUUUGGGGUGUGGGAUGGGCCCGCGGCCUAUCAGCUUGUUGGUGGGGUGAUGGCCUACCAAGGCGACGACGGGUAGCCGGCCUGAGAGGGUGACCGGCCACACUGGGACUGAGAUACGGCCCAGACUCCUACGGGAGGCAGCAGUGGGGAAUAUUGCACAAUGGGCGAAAGCCAGAUGCAGCGACGCCGCGUGAGGGAUGACGGCCUUCGGGUUGUAACCCUCUUUCAGCACCGACGAAGCGCAAGUGACGGUAGGUGCAGAAGAAGGACCGGCCAACUACGUGCCAGCCGCCGCCGUAA